rnacentral:rRNA from 1 species
AAGGUUUCCAGAGGAAGGCUCGUCCGCUCUGGGUUAGUCGGGUCCUAAGCUGAGGCCGACAGGCGUAGGCGAUGGAUAACAGGUUGAUAUUCCUGUACCACCUAUAAUCGUUUUAAUCGAUGGGGGGACGCAGUAGGAUAGGCGAAGCGUGCGAUUGGAUUGCACGUCUAAGCAGUAAGGCUGAGUAUUAGGCAAAUCCGGUACUCGUUAAGGCUGAGCUGUGAUGGGGAGAAGACGUUGUGUCUUCGAGUCGUUGAUUUCACACUGCCGAGAAAAGCCUCUAGAUAGAAAAUAGGUGCCCGUACCGCAAACCGACACAGGUAGUCAAGAUGAGAAUUCUAAGGUGAGCGAGCGAACUCUCGUUAAGGAACUCGGCAAAAUGACCCCGUAACUUCGGGAGAAGGGGUGCUCUUUAGGGUUAACGCCCAGAAGAGCCGCAGUGAAUAGGCCCAAGCGACUGUUUAUCAAAAACACAGGUCUCUGCUAAACCGUAAGGUGAUGUAUAGGGGCUGACGCCUGCCCGGUGCUGGAAGGUUAAGAGGAGUGGUUAGCUUCUGCGAAGCUACGAAUCGAAGCCCCAGUAAACGGCGGCCGUAACUAUAACGGUCCUAAGGUAGCGAAAUUCCUUGUCGGGUAAGUUCCGACCCGCACGAAAGGCGUAACGAUUUGGGCACUGUCUCAACGAGAGACUCGGUGAAAUCAUAGUACCUGUGAAGAUGCAGGUUACCCGCGACAGGACGGAAAGACCCCGUGGAGCUUUACUGUAGCCUGAUAUUGAAAUUCGGCACAGCUUGUACAGGAUAGGUAGGAGCCUUUGAAACGUGAGCGCUAGCUUACGUGGAGGCGCUGGUGGGAUACUACCCUAGCUGUGUUGGCUUUCUAACCCGCACCACUUAUCGUGGUGGGAGACAGUGUCAGGCGGGCAGUUUGACUGGGGCGGUCGCCUCCUAAAAGGUAACGGAGGCGCUCAAAGGUUCCCUCAGAAUGGUUGGAAAUCAUUCAUAGAGUGUAAAGGCAUAAGGGAGCUUGACUGCGAGACCUACAAGUCGAGCAGGGUCGAAAGACGGACUUAGUGAUCCGGUGGUUCCGCAUGGAAGGGCCAUCGCUCAACGGAUAAAAGCUACCCCGGGGAU